rnacentral:rRNA from 1 species
AUUGAACGCUGGCGGCAGGCCUAACACAUGCAAGUCGAACGAGUGGCGGACGUGUGAGUAAUGUCUGGGAAACUGCUCGAUGGAGGGGGAUAAUUACUGGAAACGGUAGCUAAUACCGCAUACCAUCGGAUGUGCCCAGGUGGGCUUAGCUAGUAGGUGGGGUAACGGCUCACCUUGGCGACGAUCCCUAGAUGGUCUGUGAGGAUGACCAGCAACACUGGAACUGAGAAACGGUCCAGAAUCCUACGGGAGGCAGAAGUGGGGAAUAUUGCACAAUGGGCGCAAGCCUGAUGCAGCAAUGCCGCGUGUAUGAAGAAGGCCUUCGGGUUGUAAAGGACUGUCAGCGAGGAGGCGUUAAUCGCAGAAGAAGCACCGGAUAACUCCGUGCCAGCCGCCGCGGUAAUAC